rnacentral:rRNA from 1 species
AACGCUGGCGGCAUGCCUUACACAUGCAAGUCGAACGGUAACAGGGAGCUUGCUCCGCUGACGAGUGGCGAACGGGUGAGUAAAGUAUCGGAACGUACCUUUCAGUGGGGGAUAACGUAGCGAAAGUUACGCUAAUACCGCAUAUUCUGUGAGCAGGAAAGCAGGGGAUCGCAAGACCUUGCGCUGAUUGAGCGGCCGAUAUCAGAUUAGCUAGUUGGUGAGGUAAAGGCUCACCAAGGCGACGAUCUGUAGCGGGUCUGAGAGGAUGAUCCGCCACACUGGAACUGAGACACGGUCCAGACUCCUACGGGAGGCAGCAGUGGGGAAUAUUGCACAAUGGGGGAAACCCUGAUGCAGCCAUGCCGCGUGUGUGAAGAAGGCCUUCGGGUUGUAAAGCACUUUCAGUGGGGAGGAAGGGGUGAUGCCUAAUACGCAUCAUCAUUGACGUUACCCACAGAAGAAGCACCGGCUAACUCCGUG